rnacentral:rRNA from 1 species
UAAGGUAAUACUUACUGGAGGUCCGAACCCACGCACGUUGAAAAGUGCGGGGAUGAGGUGUGGGUAGCGGAGAAAUUCCAAUCGAACUUGGAGAUAGCUGGUUCUCUCCGAAAUAGCUUUAGGGCUAGCCUCGAGGUAAAGAGUCAUGGAGGUAGAGCACUGUUUGGACUAGGGGCCCUUCUCGGGUUACCGAAUUCAGAUAAACUCCGAAUGCCAUGUACUUAUACUCGGGAGUCAGACUGCGAGUGAUAAGAUCCGUAGUCGAAAGGGAAACAGCCCAGACCACCAGUUAAGGUCCCCAAAUAUAUGUUAAGUGGAAAAGGAUGUGGGGUUGCUUAGACAACCAGGAUGUUGGCUUAGAAGCAGCCACCAUUGAAAGAGUGCGUAAUAGCUCACUGGUCGAGUGACCCCGCGCCGAAAAUGUACCGGGGCUAAACAUAUUACCGAAACUGUGGAUGAACCUCUUUAGAGGUUCGUGGUAGGAGAGCGUUCUAAGGGCGGUGAAGUCAGACCGGAAGGACUGGUGGAGCGCUUAGAAGUGAGAAUGCCGGUAUGAGUAGCGAAAGAAGGGUGAGAAUCCCUUCCACCGAAUAUCUAAGGUUUCCUGAGGAAGGCUCGUCCGCUCAGGGUUAGUCGGGACCUAAGCCGAGGCCGAUAGGCGUAGGCGAUGGACAACAGGUAGAGAUUCCUGUACCAGUGCUAAUUGUUUAACCGAUGGGGUGACACAGAAGGAUAGGGAAUCGCACGAAUGGAAAUGUGCGUCCAAGCAGUGAGUGUGAGAAGUAGGCAAAUCCGCUUCUCGCGAAGCAUGAGCUGUGAUGGGGAAGGAAAUUAAGUACGGAAGUUCCUGAUUUCACGCUGUCAAGAAAAGCCUCUAGGAAGAGUAGUACUGCCCGUACCGCAAACCGACACAGGUAGAUGAGGAGAGAAUCCUAAGGUGAGCGAGAGAACUCUCGUUAAGGAACUCGGCAAAAUGACCCCGUAACUUCGGGAGAAGGGGUGCUCUAUUAGGGUGCAAGCCCGAGAGAGCCGCAGUGAAUAGGCCCAGGCGACUGUUUAGCAAAAACACAGGUCUCUGCAAAACCGUAAGGUGACGUAUAGGGGCUGACGCCUGCCCGGUGCUGGAAGGUUAAGAGGAGUGCUUAGCUUCGGCGAAGGUACGAAUUGAAGCCCCAGUAAACGGCGGCCGUAACUAUAACGGUCCUAAGGUAGCGAAAUUCCUUGUCGGGUAAGUUCCGACCCGCACGAAAGGCGCAACGAUCUGGGCACUGUCUCAACGAGAGACUCGGUGAAAUUAUAGUACCUGUGAAGAUGCAGGUUACCCGCGACAGGACGGAAAGACCCCGUGGAGCUUUACUGCAACCUGAUAUGGAAUGUUUGUACCGCUUGUACAGGAUAGGUAGGAGCCGAAGAGACGUGUGCGCUAGCAUACGAGGAGGCAAUGGUGGGAUACUACCCUGGCUGUAUGACCAUUCUAACCCGCCACGCUUAGCGCGUGGGGAGACAGUGUCAGGUGGGCAGUUUGACUGGGGCGGUCGCCUCCUAAAGAGUAACGGAGGCGCCCAAAGGUUCCCUCAGAAUGGAUGGAAAUCAUUCGCAGAGUGUAAAGGCACAAGGGAGCUUGACUGCGAGACUGACAAGUCGAGCAGGGACGAAAGUCGGGCUUAGUGAUCCGGUGGUUCCGCAUGGAAGGGCCAUCGCUCAACGGAUAAAAGCUACCCCGGGGAUAACAGGCUUAUCUCCCCCAAGAGUCCACAUCGACGGGGAGGUUUGGCACCUCGAUGUCGGCUCGUCGCAUCCUGGGGCUGUAGUCGGUCCCAAGGGUUGGGCUGUUCGCCCAUUAAAGCGGCACGCGAGCUGGGUUCAGAACGUCGUGAGACAGUUCGGUCCCUAUCCGUCGCGGGCGCAGGAAAUUUGAGAGGAGCUGUCCUUAGUACGAGAGGACCGGGAUGGACACACCGCUGGUGUACCAGUUGUUCCGCCAGGAGCAUCGCUGGGUAGCUAUGUGUGGCAGGGAUAAACGCUGAAAGCAUCUAAGCGUGAAGCCCCCCUCAAGAUGAGAUUUCCCAUUUCUUCGGAAAGUAAGAUCCCUGAAAGAUGAUCAGGUAGAUAGGUUUGGAGUGGAAGUGUAGCGAUACAUGGAGCGGACAAAUACUAAUCGAUCGAGGACUUAACCAA